rnacentral:rRNA from 1 species
AGCAGCCGCGGUAAUUCCAGCUCCAAUAGCGUAUAUUAAAGUUGUUGCAGUUAAAAGGCUCGUAGUUGAAUUUCGGGACUAAUAUGUCGGUCGUACUUUGUACGUACUAGCAUUAUUGGUUUCUCCCUUCUGACGAACCACGAUGUCAUUAAUUUGGUGUCAUGGGAAAUCAGGACUGUUACUUUGAAAAAUUAGAGUGUUUAAAGCAAGCUCGCGCUUGAAUACAUUAGCAUGGAAUAAUGAAAUAGGACGUUUGAUUCUAUUUUGUUGGUUUCUAGGAUCGACGUAAUGAUUAAUAGGGAUAGUUGGGGGCAUUAGUAUUCAAUUGUCAGAGUUGAAAUUCUUGGAUUUAUUGAAGACUAACUACUGCGAAAGCAUUUGCCAAGGAUGUUUUCAUUAAUCAAGAACGAAAGUUAGGGGAUCGAGACGAUCAGAUACCGUCGUAGUCUUAACCAUAAACUAUGACCGACUAGGGAUCGGAUGAUGUUAAUUUAUAAUGACUCAUUCGG